rnacentral:lncRNA from 1 species
GCCUCAUGCCCAAGCUGAUUCUUACGUUAGUCACGUGUCCAGACUCUGCCAUGUGGUGAAUAGCUCAUACCAUCACCAACACCGUAAAUAUGAUGCGCCUGAACCCUCAGCUGUCCAGUUAUCCUGCAGUUCCCAGGAUGCUGUGUGAAUGGCCCCACGUCCCUCUCAUGGCUUCCUCCUCAGGCUGCUCACUGCCGCUCCUGCUGCUGGGCCUCUGUGUGUCACCCACUGAUCUGACCACCUCUCUGUACUUGGAGAAAAUGCUUCUCCCCCAAGCUCAGAGCUGGCCCUUCUCUUAACUCCUCCUAGGACAGUAAAGCCCAUGCCG